GAUGAACGCUGGCGGCGUGCCUAAUACAUGCAAGUCGAGCGAACAGACGAGGAGCUUGCUCCUCUGACGUUAGCGGCGGACGGGUGAGUAACGCGUGGAUAACCUACCUAUCAUACGGGGAUCACUUCGGGAAACCGGCGCUAAUACCGGAUGAUCUAUUGAACCACAUUGUUCAAUAGUGAAUUUCGGCUUUUCUGUCUCUAAUAGAUGGAUCCCCGCCGCAUUGGCUAGUUGGUACGGUAACGGGUUACCAAGGCAACGAUGCGUAGCCGACCUGAGGGGGGGGUAGGCCACACUGGAACGGAGACACGGUCCAGACGCAUACGGGAGGCACCAGUAGGGAAUCGUACGCAAAGGGGGAAAGCCUUACGGAGCAAGGCGGCGUGAGUGAUGACGGUCUUGGGUGCGGAAAGACCGGUUAUGAGGUAAGAACAAAUGUGGAAGGAAAUAUGCACGUCGUGACGGUACCGAAUCAGAAAGCACCGGCUAACUACGUG
rnacentral:rRNA from 1 species